GAUGAGAACGCAGCGAAAUGCGAUAAGUAAUGUGAAUUGCAGAAUUCAGUGAAUCAUCGAAUCUUUGAACGCACAUUGCGCCCGCCAGUAUUCUGGCGGGCAUGCCUGUUCGAGCGUCAUUUCAACCAUCAAGCCCCCGGCUUGUGUUGGGGACCUGCGGCUGCCGCAGGCCCUGAAAACCAGUGGCGGGCUCGCUAGUCACUCCGAGCGUAGUAAUACAUCUCGCUCAGGGCGUGCUGCGGGUUCCGGCCGUUAAAAAGCCUUAUUUACCCAAGGUUGACCUCGGAUCAGGUAGGAAGACCCGCUGAACUUAAGCAUAUCAAUAAGCGGAGGA
rnacentral:misc_RNA from 1 species